GACGAACGCUGGCGGCGCGCCUAACACAUGCAAGUCGAACGGAGCUGAGAGAAGCUUGCUUUUCUUAGCUUAGUGGCGCACGGGUGAGUAACGCGUGAGUAACCUGCCCUGGAGUGGGGGACAACAGUUGGAAACGACUGCUAAUACCGCAUAAGCCCACGAUCCGGCAUCGGAUUGAGGGAAAAGGAUUUAUUCGCUUCAGGAUGGACUCGCGUCCAAUUAGCUAGUUGGUGAGGUAACGGCCCACCAAGGCGACGAUUGGUAGCCGGACUGAGAGGUUGAACGGCCACAUUGGGACUGAGACACGGCCCAGACUCCUACGGGAGGCAGCAGUGGGGGAUAUUGCACAAUGGGGGAAACCCUGAUGCAGCGACGCCGCGUGGAGGAAGAAGGUUUUCGGAUUGUAAACUCCUGCCGUUAGGGACGAUAAUGACGGUACCUAACAAGAAAGCACCGGCUAACUACGUG
rnacentral:rRNA from 1 species